CUUUGAUCCGAGCAACACACACAAGUGAGCCCAAGAUUCCUGAAGCUAGCGCUUGGAGCACCCAAAAUUCAAAAACCAGAGCCUCCCUCCUUCUGUGUAUCUCCUUGCUUAUGCUUCAAAUUCAACACAGAAAUCACCACCAUUUUCAUCUCUCAAACAAGCUUUAAUGGCCUCAAACUCUCUUCACAACGAUCUCUUCUCCUCUUUAAUUUCAGAUAUCAAAUCCUAUUCUGGCAAGGACCCUCUUCUCCCCUGGCUUCGGUACUACUCUCUCUCUGUAUACAAAUUCAUGGGUACAUUCUAUCUCCGUCUUUCCAGUUCUGAGUUUGAAUCAAAUUUAUUUUCAGGGGCAUUAAGAAAAUGAAGGAAACUCUGCCCCAAAAUCUAUUGAAGGAAAAGUUGCCUCGGUUUUUGCAGAAAUGCACACAGACUUUUGAGUCUGAUCGUCGUUAUAGAAAUGACUUACGGUAUCUUCGUGUUUGGUUACAGCUGAUGGAUUAUGUGGAUGAACCAAGAGCAUUAUUGAGAACCAUGGAAAUGAAUGCCAUAGGGUCAAAGAGAUCAUUGUUCUAUCAGGCCUAUGCGCUUUACUAUGAGAAGAUGAAGAAAUUUGAGGAGGCUGAGAAGAUGUAUCAUUUAGGGGUGCAGAACCUUGCAGAGCCUGUUGAUGAACUACAGAAAUCAUAUGAGCAGUUCCUUCAACGCAUGGAGAGACACAAGAACAAAAAAAUCCAGGAAGGUAGGCCUGGCAGAAAACCUCUGUCAUCCAGGAAGACCGAAGAGAACAAUGAAAAUGCAUGCAACAUUGAGGAGAAGCCUAAAAAGAUACUGGAUAGAAGUUCUCAGAAUGUGAAGCUGCAGAAUGAAUCUAACAAUGCCAUGAUUUUAGGAAAUUCAUGUAAUGUUGAACGUGGUGAUUCAUCUGUGAAGAAAGAUAAUGUGCAAAAGAUUACACCUAGAGAUAUAUUUGAGCAGCAAAUGACUACUGGAACAGAGUCACAGGGAUCCAGGAUGUUUCAUGGUGAUGACACGGUUGUGGUGAAGUUUGUAGACACCGCCAUAGUUGGAAAGUCUGAAGCAGAAGAUGCGUGUCAUCAUGGACUGGUGGAUCCAACCAUAAAUAUGAAGGAAGCCAUGAAUGCCAUCAAUAGCAUGUUUAAAGAGCCUCUAGAGACUGCUCCAAUUAGUAGGAGGUCACAGAGAAGUCGAACAAAAGAACAUAACUUGAACUGUGGAUACACUGUCUUUGCAGAUGAAAACUUGGAUAAUAGAACUGGAUCAUCAAAUCAAAAAGAAGAAGAAGAUGUCUUACUGAUUAAGCAUGGUAGAGCUCAAACUUUCCAGCUUCAACAAGAACCACUUCAAAUAUUCAUCGACGAUGAAGAAAGUGAUGAGAAUGGAGACAGACCUGAUGGGAAUGACAACUCAGAACAGAGUGACGGUCAAAUCCAGGCAGAAGGCUCUUGCUCAUCUGCUUCACAUUUGAAUGCUUUUGUAUUCCCAUUUCCAAAGGAUUUACCAUCUGAAAACUCAGAUGAUGUGGAUUCAGAGAAUUCACCCCAAAUAAAGCUUAGAGAAGACACAGUUGUUCAUAGGUUUGUUGGGUCUACCAUCUUGGAUGACCCAGCAGUCGAAAAUGUUUGGCACCAUGGCUUAGUAGAUCCUACAGUUAACUUGAAGGAGGCUAUGGAUGAUAUAAACAACAUGUUUGGCAAGCCAAUAGAUUUUGUAAGGACCAAGAGACCAAAGAAGCAGGAAAAAGCACCAGUUACAAAACAAGAUCUUGGUGUAUUUUCAAUACUUCCUGAUGAUGAUUUGGAACAUCAAAAAGAUCAGCCACCACCAAGAUCAUCUGGCAGAAGUGAUACUGACUUGUUUGAGCCUACUUUUUUUACCAAAGAAGCAAAGGAUGAGAUAAAUAAGAUGUUUGGAAUGCCAUUGGACUUUUAGGAGCAAGUGUUAAUUGUGUUGUAGGAAAUUUCAGCUCAUGGACAUGUUGUGAUCUAAAUCAUGCACAAGUACUUGAAUUCCGAAAAUUUUCAAGUAGAUGGCAUCUCUUUGAUCCUUCUUUAUACGAAUUGUGAGAUGCAAAUUUCGUGUAUGCUUGUGCUAUAUUCCUCUAAUCUAUGUGGUCUUCAUGUGUCCUGUACUUUUAUGUUAAAAAAGUUGGAAAAUUUACUAGCCUUGAAGCAGGAAAAUUGGUAUUGCAUUUCAUUGCAAA
rnacentral:misc_RNA from 1 species